rnacentral:snoRNA from 1 species
AACCCAUGGUAAGGACACCAUUUCAAUAAGUCCUUAUACCUCUCUUAUGCAUUGUAUAAAGUCUUUAAAUCAAUCUGAAUGAAGGAAGAGAUAUCAUUCCUCAACUU